rnacentral:rRNA from 1 species
GGAAGGCAGCAGGCGCGUAAAUUACCCAAUCCUGACUCAGGGAGGUAGUGACAAGAAAUAACAGACCGGAGCCUCUGGUUCCGGGAUUGCAAUGAGUACAAUUUAGACUCCUUAACAAGUAACAAUUGGAGGGCAAGUCUGGUGCCAGCAGCCGCGGUAAUUCCAGCUCCAAUAGUGUAUAUUAAUGUUCCUGCAGUUAUUCGAUGCUCGUAGUUGGAUUUCUGGAGGCUGAGACAGGAGGGCAGCCAAGGUUGUCGCCAGUCUCUUCCUUCAUCCGCCUGUUAACGUUGUCCGGGAUUUAUUUCUCGGCUUCGGGCUCAGGUACUUUUUUUGUUUUACCCUUUCUUUAUAUUCAUUUAUUUAUCUUUAUUUUUUGAGCAAAUUAUAGUGUUUCAGGCAGGCGUGCGCCGGAAUACAUUAGCAUGGAAUAAUCGAAUUGGACCGUGUAUUCACUAUGUGAAUUCUUCCUUAUUUGUUGGUUCUAAGGACACGGAUAUGAUUAAUAGGGAUAGUAAUUUUCAGGGGAGGCAUUAGUAUUUAAUUUCCAGAGGUGAAAUUCUUUGAAAUAUUAAAGACUAACUUAUGCGAAAGCAUUUAUUUUGCCAAUAAUGUUUUCAUUAAUCAUUGAACGAAAGUUAGGGGAUCAAAGACGAUCAGAUACCGUCCUAGUCUUAACCAUAAACGUUGCCGACUAGGGAUCGGAGGGCGUGCACAUUCCGCCUUCGGCACCUUACGAGAAAUCAAAGUCUUUUGGGUUCUGGGGGUAGUAUGGUCGCAAGGCUGAAACUUAAAGGAAUUGACGGAAGGGCACCACCAGGAGUGGAGCUUGCGGCUCAAUUUGACUCAACACGGGAAAUCUUACCAGGUCCAGACAUAGCGAGGAUUGACAGAUUGAUAGCUCUUUCUUGAUUCUAUGGGUAUUUUUGGUGGUGCAUGGCCGUUCUUAGUUGGUGGGUUGCCUUGUCAGGUUGAUUCCGGUAACGAACGAGACCUCAGCCUGCUAAAUAGUCACGUCUACCUCGGUAGGCGCCUGACUUCUUAGAGGGACUAUUGGCGUUUAGCCAAUGGAAGUGUGAGGCAAUAACAGGUCUGUGAUGCCCUUAGAUGUCCUGGGCCGCACGCGUGCUACACUGAUGCAUACAGCGAGCACUUCCCGGCCCCGAAAGGCGGCUGGUAAUCAGCAAUAUGCAUCGUGAUGGGGAUAGUUCUUUGGAAUUCUUGAACUUGAACGAGGAAUGCCUAGUAGGCGCAAGUCAUUACCUUGCGUCGAUUAAGUCCCUGCCCUUUGUACACACCGCCCGUCGCUCCUACCGAUUCGAGUGAUCCGGUGAACCUUUUGGACCGGAGCUGCUUGCAGUUCUGGAAAAUCAAGUAAACCACGUCACUUAGAGGAAGGAGAAGUCGUAACAAGGUUUCCGUAGGUGAACCUGCGGAAGGAUCAAU